rnacentral:rRNA from 1 species
UGGGGAAUUUUGGACAAUGGGGGAAACCCUGAUCCAGCCAUCCCGCGUGUGCGAUGAAGGCCUUCGGGUUGUAAAGCACUUUUUGCAGGAAAGAAACGUCAUGGGUUAAUACCCCGUGAAACUGACGGUACCUGCAGAAUAAGCACCGGCUAACUACGUGCCAGCAGCCGCGGUAAUACGUAGGGUGCAAGCGUUAAUCGGAAUUACUGGGCGUAAAGCGUGCGCAGGCGGUUCGGAAAGAAAGAUGUGAAAUCCCAGGGCUCAACUUUGGAACUGCAUUUUUAACAACCGAGCUAGAGUGUGUCAGAGGGAGGUGGAAUUCCGCGUGUAGCAGUGAAAUGCGUAGAUAUGCGGAGGAAGACCGAUGGCGAAGGCAGCAGCCUGGGGUAACACUGACGCUCAUGCACGAAAGCGUGGGGAGCAAACAGG